GAACGAGACGAGCAGCGAGGCAGCGCCCAAUCAGAACCUCUUUCCAACCCCUCGUCGCCUCCUCGUCCUCUCCCUGCAACGACUUUUCUCCCCUCUUGUUCCAAACCCAAAUCGAGCCAAACCCCGACGCUCCAAAUCGCCCCAGCUCGGCGAUCCGGAGGGAUCUGCGAGGAGCGGAGGCGCCGGCGCCGCCGGAGGCAGGCGGCGGUGGCGGCGAGGCCGUCGGCGGCGGCUGGGGUGUCUGCGAUGAUAACCCGGUCGAAGCUGGUGGAGCAGCUGCGCGACUACCAGAUCCGAUCCCAGCACAAGCGCGACCUUAUCGGAGCCAUCUCAUGGGGCUUGCUGUGCUGCCUCCUAAUAGUAUCCUCAUACAUGAUGCUAUACUUCAGGCACUUCUGGUUAUCAGCCGUCAUCAUCUCCGUCGGCAUCCUUCUUCCCGCCGGCCUGUACAUUUUGAGGCAGAGGAAGCUGGCUAAGAAAAGAGAGCGGAGAUUAUUGUUGCCUCUCUCCAUGUAA
rnacentral:rRNA from 1 species